rnacentral:rRNA from 1 species
GACGUAGGGCGCGAGCGUUGUCCGGAAUUAUUGGGCGUAAAGAGCUCGUAGGCGGCUUGUUGCGUCGCCUGUGAAAACCCGCGGCUCAACCGUGUGGCUUGCAGUCGAUCCGGGCAGGCUAGAGUUCGGUAGGGGAGACUGGAAUUCCUGGUGUAGCGGUGAAAUGCGCAGAUAUCAGGAGGAACCCCGGUUGCGAAGGCGGGUCUCUGGGCCGAUACUGACGCUGAGGAGCGAAAGCGUGGGGAGCGAACAGG